AUUGAACGCUGGCGGCGUGCCUAACACAUGCAAGUCGAGCGGUAACAGGUGUAGCAAUACAUGCUGACGAGCGGCGGACGGGUGAGUAACGCUUGGGAAUCUGCCUAUUAGUGGGGGACGAACCCGGGGAAACGUACGGGCGUAAUACCGCAUACGCUCUACGGAGGAAAGCCGGGGACCGGCAAGGCCUGGCGCUAAUAGAUGAGCCCAA
rnacentral:rRNA from 1 species